rnacentral:rRNA from 1 species
UACGUAGGGUGCGAGCGUUGUCCGGAAUUAUUGGGCGUAAAGAGCUCGUAGGCGGCCUGUUGCGUCGGUUGUGAAAGCCCGGGGCUUAACCCCCGGGUCUGCAGUCGAUACGGGCAGGCUAGAGUUCGGUAGGGGAGAUCGGAAUUCCUGGUGUAGCGGGUGAAAUGACGCAGAUAUCAGGAGGAACACCGGUGGCGAAGGCGGAUCUCUGGGCCGAUACUGACGCUGAGGAGCGAAAGCGUGGGGAGCGAACAGG